ACUAACAAGGAUUCCCCUAGUAACUGCGAGUGAACCGGGAAAAGCUCAAAUUUUGAAUCUGGCGGUCUUUACGGUCGUCCGAGUUGUAAUCUAGAGAAGCGUCUUCCGCGCUGGACCGUGUAUAAGUUUCCUGGAAUGGAACGUCGUAGAGGGUGACAAUCCCGUCUUUGACACGGACUCCCAGGGCUAUGUGAUGCGCUCUCGACGAGUCGAGUUGUUUGGGAAUGCAGCUCAAAUAGGGUGGUAAAUUCCAUCUAAAGCUAAAUACAGGCGAGAGACCGAUAGCGAACAAGUACCGUGAGGGAAAGAUGAAAAGAACUUUGGAAAGAGAGUUAAACAGUACGUGAAAUUGCUGAAAGGGAAACGCUUGAUGUCAGUCGCGUCGGCCGGGGAUCAGCCUUGCUUUUGCUCGGCGUACUUCCUGGUCGACGGGUCAGCAUCGGUUUUGACCGUCGGAAAAUGGCUUGAGGAACGUGGCACUCUUCGGAGUGUGUUAUAGACUCGGGUCGAAUACGACGGUUGGGACCGAGGAACUCAGCACGACCUUACGGUUCGGGGCUUCGGCUCACGUUAACGUGCUUAGGAUGCUGGCAUAAUGGCCUUAAGCGACCCGUC
rnacentral:rRNA from 1 species